rnacentral:rRNA from 1 species
CGCUGGCGGCAGGCCUAACACAUGCAAGUCGAGCGGUAGCACAGAGGAGCUUGCUCCUUGGGUGACGAGUGGCGGACGGGUGAGUAAUGUCUGGGGAUCUGCCCGAUAGAGGGGGAUAACCACUGGAAACGGUGGCUAAUACCGCAUAACGUCGCAAGACCAAAGAGGGGGACCUUCGGGCCUCUCACUAUCGGAUGAACCCAGAUGGGAUUAGCUAGUAGGCGGGGUAAUGGCCCACCUAGGCGACGAUCCCUAGCUGGUCUGAGAGGAUGACCAGCCACACUGGAACUGAGACACGGUCCAGACUCCUACGGGAGGCAGCAGUGGGGAAUAUUGCACAAUGGGCGCAAGCCUGAUGCAGCCAUGCCGCGUGUAUGAAGAAGGCCUUCGGGUUGUAAAGUACUUUCAGCGGGGAGGAAGGCGACGGGGUUAAUAACCGCGUCGAUUGACGUUACCCGCAGAAGAAGCACCGGCU